rnacentral:rRNA from 1 species
AUUGAACGCUGGCGGCAUGCCUUACACAUGCAAGUCGAACGGCAGCACGGGGCAACCUGGUGGCGAGUGGCGAACGGGUGAGUAAUGCAUCGGAACGUACCUUUCAGUGGGGGAUAACGUAGCGAAAGUUACGCUAAUACCGCAUAUUCUGUGAGCAGGAAAGCAGGGGAUAGCAAAAACUUGCGCUGAUUGAGCGGCCGAUGUCAGAUUAGCUAGUUGGUGAGGUAAAGGCUCACCAAGGCGACGAUCUGUAGCGGGUCUGAGAGGAUGAUCCGCCACGCUGGAACUGAGACACGGUCCAGACUCCUACGGGAGGCAGCAGUGGGGAAUUUUGGACAAUGGGGGCAACCCUGAUCCAGCCAUGCCGCGUGAGUGAAGAAGGCCUUCGGGUUGUAAAGCUCUUUCGGCCGGGAAGAAAUCGCACGGGCUAAUACCCUGUGUGGAUGACGGUACCGGAAUAAGAAGCACCGGCUAACUACGUGCCAGCAGCCGCAGUAACAC